GCAGAAUUCAGCUAGACACACACAAAAAAGACGAUCACUACAGCCUUCCAAGAAGAUGGACUGCCUCACAAUAGUUUCCUUGAGGACUGUCUUGAAAUAUCCAGAGUUUAAGAUUCAAGAAACGGACUCUAUCUGGAAAAGGAAAACAAUAUCAAAGCUCCUCUGUGAGAAGUUGGCCAAGGAAAGCAUUCAGAAGAAAGUGGAGAUUCAUUGUUUUUACCAGAUCCAGCAGAUCACAGAAAGCAUCUAGUAGGGGAGGUCUACAGAUCGAAGCAUGCCAAACGUGUAAAGAACAAGUUUCCAGGAUUAAGCCAGCCAGUAGAUGAGACUAUUAUAUCAAAAAUACAUUUACUUGUACACGAGGGCACACAAAGCGUUGAUGAAACAAAAAGACAUUUCCGUCUGUUUGUAAAGGAUACUAUUUCACCAGGGAACACCAUCUCAGAAUUUAACAGAUGCUUUUACCCCGCCAAUAAGGAUGUAAGAAAUCACAUUUACAGGGCACCGAGAUUUUGCCAGGUAGUUUAGAACUGUGUGCAUUGGUUUUGGAAGAAUUUGGGCUGUUUAGGCUAAAAUCCAUUAUGUAAGUUCAUCUUUGUGGUGCACAAAUUCCAUAUGGUCAUUUCAAAUAGUCAACAUUGCUUCUAUUUUCAAUCUGAAAUUCUACAUGUAUUUUGUUUGAGAGAUGAAAACAAUCCUCGAAACAUUAUCACCGUUAUCUUUAAUUUUCCAUCAUACUUGUGUCAAAGAGUUGAACUUUCUUUACCAGUAAUUUUAUAUUGACUUCGCAUUGUGUGAUAUAUAAAGUUUUUAUGAUUUUAUUUUCUGUCUAAGAUAUUCAAUAUUUAAAGGAAAAAGAUAAUGGUAGGAGAUGGUAGGAUAAAUUCUAAUUAUUCAGAGAAACUUGAUAAAUACUGUGUUUGAGCUUAUAUACUCGAUAACACAAUAGAAGAAUGCAAUUUACUAGUU